UACGAGUGGGGCAAAUGUUGUUCGGAAUCACUGGGCGUAAAGGGAGCGUAGGCGGGUUUCUAAGUCAGGUGUUUAAUCCCGGGGCCCAACCCCGGACAGGCACUUGAAACUGGGAAUCUUGAAUAGUGGAGAGGUCAGUGGAAUUGGGGGUGUAGCGGUGGAAUGCGUAGAGAUCCCCAAGAACACCAGUUGCGAAGGCGGCUGACUGGACACAUAUUGACGCUGAGGCUCGAAAGCAUGGGGAGCAAACAGG
rnacentral:rRNA from 1 species